rnacentral:lncRNA from 1 species
AGUUUUAAAUGAUUUGUUGACUAAAAACAUUAAAAUCUUUUUCAGGUUCAGUUUUACUCAGUAAAACUGCAUGGAUAACCUUCACGUUUAUAAUGAUGGUAGUAGUUAUUGAUUUCUGCAUCAAAACAAUGGAAAAUGAAAAAGGUAUAGACCUAGUUUAUAUUUCUAAUACUGGAAAGUACAGUUUCAUUCACUGAAAUGCAAAUCAAUUUCUAACCUUUAUAUAACGUGCUUUUUCUGGAUUUUUUGGUUGAUAUUCUGUCUCUAUCCGUUAAAAUAAACACACCAUAAAAAAUACAGAACCUUCAUUACUUUGUAAGUGGGUAAACUUAAAAUCAGCACGGAAUCAAAUAAAUAUUUCCCCCACUGUAUAAUAACUUCAUUUUAUAUCUCUAAGUGAUAAAAAGGUUAAUCUUUCAAUAAAUUUCUUUAAUAUAUACUUCUGUUCACAGAUUUUGCUGCAGGAUGGAUCUGUACGACUGUAUUUCAGCAAGCGCUGUGGAUGAUUGCAAUAUAUAAUCAUAGUAAUGAAGAUCUAGAUCUAACCCUCACCUUUAAAAAGAUUUUGUAUGCAUUGGGAUCCAUUGGUGUUGUUUUGCUGAAUGCUGCUGCACUGAUGACAGAAAUGAUACUAAAAACAGGUGAGCAAACACACCACUUACAUCAAUUUGAUGUUAUUUAACAAAGCUGUCAUAAAGAUUGAUUUUUAUUUUAUCCUCAGUUAAUGGUGAGCGUGCAGUUGGCGAUUUGAGAAUUGUUGUCUUCUCCUCUGAAAGCAUCUUUACUCUUUCUCUGCUGAUUUUGCUCAUGUUUGGAUGCUGUAAGUACACUUCCCCAGAAUUCCUUGUUUUUAUUUCUAUUAAUUUAAAGCUGUCAUUCAAAAGACAUUUGAAUCUGUUUCUGU